rnacentral:rRNA from 1 species
GAUGAACGCUGGCGGCGUGCCUAAUACAUGCAAGUCGAGCGAACAGACGAGGAGGUUGUUCCUCUGACGUUAGCGGCGGACGGGCGAGUAACACGUGGAUAACCUACCUAUAAGACUGGGAUCACUUCGGGAAACCGGAGCUAAUACCGGAUCAUAUAUUGAAUCGCAUGGUUCAAUAGUGAAAGACGGUAUUGCCGUCACUUAUAGAUGGAUCGGCGCCGCAUUAGCUAGUUGGUAAGGUAACGGCUUACCAAGGCAACGAUGCGUAGCCGACCGGAGAGGGUAGUAAGCCCCCCCGGAACUGAACCGCGAUCCAGACCCCUACGGGAGGCGGCGGAAGAGAAACUUCCACAAUGGGAGGAAGGUUAGCGGGACAACGCCGAGUAGGUGAUAAGGGUCUUCGGAUAGUAAUACUCUGUUAUUAGGGAGGAACAAAUGUGUAAGUAACGAGGCACGUCUUGACGGUACCGAAUCAGAAAGCCACGGCUAACUACGUG